UCCGCUUGUGUUUCUUCCUCCUCGAAAAAGUGUGUUUUUCGUAAAAAUUCGUCACCGCGGCACCCCGUUUCUUCACAGCGGUGCUGGGGACAGAAUGUAGUUUUGUCCUGUGGUUUUUCUUUCGCCUCAGGGUUAAAAUGGUUUUCGUGCGAGGCUGGAAUCCUUGAGUUUGGGGUUUGCACGCAGAGCCGGACAUUAUUAACUGCUGUUGCAGAAGAGAUCAUAAACACAACUAAGGUGAGAAGACAGGAUGCAGCAGCAGGCUUUUGUCUUGCUCUGAGGCUUCACACAAGAUGGAAUAACAUACAACCACAGCACAGAUUUUCCUGCUCUCUGCACUGAUCCUGCUGCCAGCAGGCUUUUUUUUUUCUCCUUUCUCUCUUUUUUUGUAGGUCAUUGAGGAAACUGCUUAAACAAAGAAAUGAGGCCAUAGCAGCUUUUGGAAAAUUCUUCUCUUGACUUGCUCAGGUUGCUGAGGCAGAACAUUUUUCAUUCCUAUUAUCACGAAUUUCCCUUCCCUUGUUACAAGGUCAGAGAGUGGCAAAACAUGCACACGCACAUACAUGAAAAGGAGCUCAUGUUUUGAACUGGCAGAUGAGAAAAAACAGGGUGGCGGGGGUGGGGUGGUAGCGGGUGUGGUUUCUUUUUCCAAGCCAGGAGUCUGUGAUGUGGGAUAAACUGAAUAUGUAUAAAAUGAAUUUUUUAGGAUGGGCUGGAUAGAGGAGUUACUUGUUUAGAAACAUGCAGUACAAUGUGGGAAAGAAUAGGAGACCUUAGUAAAUCAUUUGAUAUUAUGAAAAUGCAGUCAUCUGACUUUCUUCACUUCUUUCAAUAAUAUUAUGUCACACAGACAUUCUUGUGGAUUGGGGCAAUAGAGGGGACAGUUUAAAGAUAUUGUUAGUGGUGCUGAUUUACCUGUGACUCAGGUGUAGCCAGUGUGAGAAACUGCCAAGAGAUGUGGUAGCAUUCUAGAGUGGCUUUUGUCUACAAAAGACAGAAUGGCAUUACUUGCAAAAGUAUAGCAACAACAGAAGGAGAUCAAGUGAAUUUGGAGCUAAUAUCUACACUGAUGCUGAAUUUCAUUAACACUUGUUAUAUGUGAUUUAUUUAGAUUAAUUCUGACUUUUGGGUAGUCCAGAUAUACCCAGAAAAUAAAUGAAGUCACAAAGUCACUCAUCACAAUGGAAAUCUGUCAGGCUUAGGAUAAUUUGUGGUUCACUUUUCAGCUAUGGAUGUGGGAUUUUAUUUAAAAACUGAUUUAGUGUGCUGUUCUAAAUCAUAAUACAUUUUUACAUUAAAAAAAACAAACAAACAAACACUUUUGUAUCUCAAUAGGAAAGAGUUACUAUUGCAUACUGCUCAGUGUCUGGGACUGAUUCUUCCCCAUAAUAAAAGGAUUUUAUUAUUCAUAGAGUUUUAAAAUUCCCAGAUAGAUCAGUAUUAUCUUUACAUAAGAAAAUGAUAGGCAGAGGCAGAAAGUUUGCCGUUAUCUAGUUAAAGAGAUCUAUACAGCCUUUACCAUUUUCAUUAAAAUGAACUCUCUGUGAUAUUAUUCAGAUUUCCAACAUUCAGCUUUAGUUUGAUGCAAAGCAAAAGAGAAAUAGCUCCUGGAUCAUUCCAGGCCAUUGAUUGAAUCAUCGAACAGCUUGCAUUGGAAGGGACCUUAAAAAUCAUCUAGUUCCAACCCCUCUGCAAUGGGCGGGGAUGCCACCCACUAGAUCAGAUUGCCCAGGGCCUCAUCCAGCCUGGUCUUCAGCAUUUCCAAGGAUGCAGCACCCACAACUUCUCUGGGCAACCUGUUCCAGUGCCUUACCACC
rnacentral:lncRNA from 1 species